rnacentral:lncRNA from 1 species
ACCACCUGCUGGUGCCUAGCGGCGGCGCCACCAUUGUUGGCAUGGCGGAGCAACUGCGUGGGCGAUGCGGACGCCGCCAUCACCGUUGAGGUGGGGACUGGGAACGGCACGGCGCGGUUGACGCCGUGGCAGGCACGGCGCUCGCUGAUGGCGACGGUGAGGCAGCGACGCGGGAAGAUCGUGGCGAUUCCCCGUGAAAAUGAUGACGCUCUUGCACCUGGAGAAGGAGACCGGGGAGCAGCAUACGUAGGUGGUCUCUACGAGCUGUACGCGACGUUGCCGCCAUGCGGAGAAGGAGGGGGCUAGAGAGGGCCUUAUUCUUCAUAUGCUGUAGCUGGAUGAGCGGUAUUGGUCGAUGCAUUCCUCCGAGUCGUAGGCGAGCUCGCGGAGCUGCUUCAUCCACUCUAGGACGAAGUGGUCCACGUUGUUUACGAGGUUCUAAGC